UACGGAGGGUGCGAGCGUUAUCCGGAUUUAUUGGGUUUAAAGGGUGCGUAGGCGGACGCUUAAGUCAGCGGUAAAAUUGCGGGGCUCAACCUCGUCGAGCCGUUGAAACUGGGUGCCUUGAGUGGGCGAGAAGUACGCGGAAUGCGUGGUGUAGCGGUGAAAUGCAUAGAUAUCACGCAGAACUCCGAUUGCGAAGGCAGCGUACCGGCGCCCAACUGACGCUGAAGCACGAAGGCGUGGGUAUCGAACAGG
rnacentral:rRNA from 1 species